ACUUCCCACAAAAAUAAGAGGGAGAGAUACUAGUUUGGAUAUUUUGGGAAUGAUUUCCCAAAGAAAUAAAAUAAUAGAGUUCAAGAGGGAGAGGAAGCCGACGGACGAAAAGAGGGAGAACCCAGUCAUGAUGAAGACCUUCUAUAUUGCUGCUGCUGCCAUCUACCACUCCAUGAAAGGCUGAUCUUCUCUCUAGGGCUGGAUGCAGCCCUAACAAAGGGCCAAGGGUUUUAUAUUUUUGAUUUCUAUUCUGGGAGUUGUAUAAACCUUAUUUUGCUUCUAAUGAAUAUUUUAUUUCAUCUCAUAUUUAAUUUCUGUGAUUUUAAAUGUGAAGUUCAUACAACUGUUCUUCAUGAUCACUAGGUAAAUAUAAGAUAGUCCAUGCUUAAGGAAGAUGUGGUGUGCUACCGCAUUAGAUUAGGGUGGACAUUUCAUGCCAACUGAAGAUGGAUUAUGCCUAAAUUACUUUUGUGAGAUUUUUAUUUGGAUGCUUAUUGGGCUUGUAGUCAAUUUGCAUGUUAAUCCAAGAAUAAAUUAAAAUAUAAUUAACCCUUGUUCCAAUGU
rnacentral:lncRNA from 1 species